UGUCCACCUUUGGCCACUCUCGGGGCUUUUGAACUUUACAACCCUCCAUUGUACAAAUAAAAGUGCUGAUGCUGAAGACUGCUCCACCAGAGUGAGCUCCAGGGGCCAAAAAUAGAACAAGGCUGGGCCAGCUGGCUUGGCCAUCUACUCUUCCCUACCAACUCCAGUGAAGAGGUCAAUUUCAUCACACAGCCCGGCUUGUAGACGGGGCCCUGUAUUUUUACACACUCACAUUUCCAUCUCCCAAGAGAAUAUCUCAGAGGUGGAUGGCAUGGAGAUCAGCAUCUCCAUUUCACAGCAGGACAGCAUGCCCGGGGUCCAAAGGCAUGUGGUCGUACCAGCAGGAGUAGGGUCUUGGACAUGCAUCGUGGUUUUUCCUGGCAAGGCCCUCUGCUUUUAAUGGUUUUAUGGUGGUUUCAAGUGAAGGCUGAAGAGACUGGGGACAGGUAGGAAGUGUUUGUGCCCAUGGAAAUAAGUACCAUUAAGUCUAAAUAUUACACACAGAACACCUAAUUCAUUCCCUAUGUUAAUUCUUCCAGAUCUGGAACACAGCAACCUGCAGGUUCUAAGUCCUGCACAGAGACAAGUGAAAAGCCCGGCCUCGGGUAAUGGUGACUGAAACCACUUAGCACUGCAUGUCCAGGGCUGAGCCCCGACCCCCACCCCUCUUCAUCUGGAAACCUUCUAGCAAUUGGCUGGGUUUUGUGAUUAAAAUGCAUGUAGCUGUUUAAAAUGAGGCCACACAGAAUGUUGCCCGUGCUUCACCCUAAGUAAGAAACAGACAACGGAAUACCACACAUAGUGACACUCCACUGUGGAAAAAAUAAAUCCAUAAAUCUGUACACCAAUGAAGGCAUGGAGGAAAGACAGGUGGGGCCAGAGAGAUGGUUUAGUUAGGAGCACUUGCUGCUCAUUUAAAAGACCCAGGUUCAGUUCCCAGCACCCACUUCAGGUAGCUCACAGCUGGCUGGAACUCCAUCUAUAUGGAACCUGAUGCUCCCUUUUGCUCUCCAUGAGCAUCUGCACUCGUGCACAUAAGGCCAUUUACACACACACGCACACGCACACGCACACACACACACACACGCACACUUAAAAAAUAAAAUCUGCAGGGUGUGACCGGCGCCCAGCAGGUAGGUCUCUGUUGUUCGAGGCUGGUCUACGUAGUGGUUCUAGGAGUAUGUUGACAGACUCUCUCACAAAGCUAAAGUAAAAUCUUUAAAACGUGUUGACUGUGGUUUAUCUGGUGGGGAAUGUGAAGGUGAACACACUGCUGGCUUCUGCCUUCACUUGCUUUGCAGUUGGGAUAGAUCAGCUUUAUUUUGUAAACUUACUUUAGAUGGUACAGUCACAAGUGUGCAGGGAAUUGAGCCAUGAGAACUGUCCCUGUCCUCUCUGCCUACCAUCCACUUGGCUCCCUCUGGAGGUGACAACAUGGCCCGCGUUUCUGCAUCCUAGUUUAUGUACAGGUCAGCAAAUACAUAUUUUCAGUUUU
rnacentral:sRNA from 1 species